AUUUUCUCACGGCUGGUACAAAUUGGUUCGCUUCAGAGGUAGUAGAUUGCAGUAUCGCACACACAAACCCUAACAGGAAACCCUAGAUCGUCCCGCGAGGAGAAACAAAAAUGUCGCAUUUUGGUAGAGCAGGCCCUCCAGAUAUCACAGAUACCUAUUCGCUUCUCGUGCUUAACAUCACUUUCCGUACUACUGCUGAUGAUUUGUUCCCACUUUUUGAUAAAUAUGGGAAAGUGGUUGAUGUUUUCAUCCCUAGAGAUCGCAGGACUGGAGAUUCUCGUGGGUUUGCUUUUGUUCGAUACAAGUAUGCAGAUGAAGCACAAAAGGCAGUCGAAAAGCUUGAUGGAAGAGUUGUUGAUGGAAGAGAGAUGAUGGUUCAAUUUGCCAAAUAUGGGCCAAAUGCUGAAAAAAUUCACAAGGGAAGGAUACUUGAACCAGUAGAAAAGCUGAAGGGUAGAUCAAGGAGCCGAAGUCCAAGACCAAGUUCCAGGUAUAGAGAUGAAUACAGCCACAGGGGCUACAGGAGGAGAAGUCGCAGCAGAAGCAGGGAGAGAUAUUAUGGAAGGGACAGAGAUCGUUACAGAAGUAGGAGUAGGAGCCCUGAUUAUCAUAGAAGACACAGGAGGAACAGAUAUGAUGAUGAUUAUGAUGAUGAGAGAAGCCCAAGUAGGUCUCCUGUAAGAAGCAGGUCUCCUCCUCCACGUAGGACACCUUCUAGAAGCAGAAGCCCAGUUAGAGGAAGAAAUGAGAAAGCAUCAUCACCUGGAGCUGAUUCCAGAAGCCCUUUGCAGCGUUCUGAUUCCGAUGAAUGAUCGACUGAAAUAAGGUUUGAAAGAUGGAUUUUUGAACUAGUUUGCUGGUUGGUGCAUCGUAUUGUUAAGUGUUGAUGUUGCUGUGGGGGAGAGAUGAGAUUGUUGAUGCUGUUGGUGUCUUUUUGUUACCUGAUUUCAGCUUGUGAGAAUGGUAAGAGAAACAAAACACUUUCUUGUUGCUCAAGUCAAGUAGGAAAUAUGAUUUUAUAGAUAUGGAUAUCAAUAUAUUAUGAAAUAGUUGCUGACUUGAGAUAUUUUGGGUAAAAAAAAAGGAGUUUUAGUUGGUUGCUGAGAAUGAGAUGAUCAUGAUCAUGAUACUGUAGUUGAUGAUGAUGCAGAGCCUAAAAAUCAUUCUCGUUAUUUUUCAAGGUUAGAAGUAAACACAAUUUGAUAUGCUUCUCCUUUUUAUAAUAAUUUUCCAUCACUUUUUUUUUCUUCUAUCAUGUUGCAUGCAUAGUCAUUUUACAUAUGCAUGUGUCUUUAAGGAAAAUUGCAGUAAAUGACUUAUCAUACAAUAGGAGUUGGUUGCUAAGCCAUGAUAUUAAUAUUAACCUUAAAUAGAAAAACGAGGUGGUAAUUUUUGUGCCAUUAUUGGUAUUUUUCCUCAGUUUUAAGUAAAUUGGUUCAGGAUGUUAGAAUUUAACUCUUUUUCAUUUUUAGCUUAAUUUUCUCCAUCUCUCAAAACAAUUAUAUGUUAUAUUAAUAGAAGAAAUUAGAAUAGUAUCAUAUCUUUUGAGUUUGUAUAAAACAAGAGGCGAUUGCUAUUAAUGUAAUAUUGAUGAGAUUAUAUGAAUUUUUACAUAUUGUUUGA